UCUUAAGGAUUAGCAAAGAAAGUGGUUCCUUGAGAUGAAAACUACUUCUGGUGAGGAUGCUGUGAA
rnacentral:pre_miRNA from 1 species